rnacentral:rRNA from 1 species
AUUGAACGCUGGCGGCAUGCCUUACACAUGCAAGUCGAACGGCAGCGGACCUUCGGGUGCCGGCGAGUGGCGAACGGGUGAGUAAUAUAUCGGAACGUACCUUUCAGUGGGGGAUAACGUAGCGAAAGUUACGCUAAUACCGCAUAUUCUGUGAGCAGGAAAGCCGGGGAUCGCAAGACCUUGCGCUGAUUGAGCGGCCGAUAUCAGAUUAGCUAGUUGGUGAGGUAAAGGCUCACCAAGGCGACGAUCUGUAGCGGGUCUGAGAGGAUGAUCCGCCACACUGGAACUGAGACACGGUCCAGACUCCUACGGGAGGCAGCAGUGGGGAAUUUUGGACAAUGGGCGCAAGCCUGAUCCAGCCAUGCCGCGUGAGUGAAGAAGGCCUCGGUUG